rnacentral:rRNA from 1 species
AAAGGGUGAGGAAUAGAUAGGAACGUGCCUUUGGCUUCGGAAUAGCGUCCCGAAAGGGGCGGUAAUACCGGAUAACGUCUACGGACCAAAGAUUUAUCGGCCUUAGAGCGGCCUAUCUCCUAUCAGCUUGUUGGUGGGGUAAUGGCCUACCAAGGCAACGACGGGUAGCGGGACUGAGAGGUUGGCCCGCCACAUCGGGACUGAGACACUGCCCGGACCUCCACGGAGGGCUGCAGUAACGAAUAUUGGGCAAUGGGCGAAAGCCUGACCCAGCAAUGCCGCGUGUAGGAUGAAGCCCCUCGGGGUAUAAACUACUGUCAGGGGUUAGAAAGCUACGGUUGAUCAACCCCAGAGGAAGUCACGGCUAACUUCGUGCCAGCAGCCGCGGUAAUACGAAGGUGGCGAGCGUUAUUCGGAAUUACUGGGCUUAAAGCGCACGCAGGCGGAAUAUUUAGCGUCUUGUGAAAUCCCCCGGCUUAACCGGGGAAUUGCAGGGCGAACUGGUAUUCUUGAGGCAAGUAGGGGUGCAUGGAACUCUUGGUGGAGCGGUGGAAUGCGUAGAUAUCAAGAGGAACGCCGAUGGUGAAGACAGUGCACUGGGCUUGUCCUGACGCUGAGGUGCGAAAGCGUGGGGAGCGAACGGGAUUGGAUACCCCGGUAGUCCACGCCGUAAACGAUGCCUACUAGGUCGUGGUUGUUCUGACACACUCACGGCCGAAGCAAAAGUGUUUAGUAGGCCGCCUGGGGAGUACGGUCGCAAGGCUAAAACUCAAAGGAAUUGACGGGGGCUCACACAAGCGGUGGAGCAUGUGGAUUAAUUCGAAGCAACGCGCAGAACCUUACCUGGGUUUGACAUGUAUGGAUGCCUGCUGUGAAAGCAGUUAGGUUGCCUUCGGGUGAAACUUACACAGGUGCUGCAUGGCUGUCGUCAGCUCGUGUCGUGAGAUGUCGGGUUAAGUCCUUUAACGAGCGAAACGCCUUGCCGUUAGUUGCCAGCGGGUCAUUCCGGGGAGUCUAACCGGGACUGCCGGUGUCAAACCGGAGGAAGGUGGGGACGACGUCAAGUCCUCAUGGCUUUUAUGCCCAG